rnacentral:rRNA from 1 species
GACGAACGCUGGCGGCGUGCUUAACACAUGCAAGUCAAGGGGACCCGCAAGGGUAACCGGCGAACGGGUGCGUAACACGUGAGCAACCUGCCUCAGUGUGGGGGAUAGCCGGCCCAACGGCCGGGUAAUACCGCAUACGCUCACCGAGUGGCAUCACUUGGUGAAGAAACUUCCGAGGCACUGAGAGGGGCUCGCGGCCUAUCAGCUUGUUGGUGGGGUAAUGGCCUACCAAGGCACGACGGGUAGCUGGUCUGAGAGGAUGGCCAGCCACAUUGGGACUGAGAUACGGCCCAGACUCCUACGGGAGGCAGCAGUGGGGAAUAUUGCGCAAUGGGCGAAAGCCUGACGCAGCGACGCCGCGUGGAGGAUGAAGGUCUUCGGAUUGUAAACUCUGUCAUUGGUGAACAAGACAUUGCCGUUAACUGCGGUGGUGUUUGAUAGUAGCCGAAGAGGGAAGGGACGGCUAACUCUGUGCCAGCAGCCGCCGCUGUAAC